rnacentral:rRNA from 1 species
GAGUUUGAUUAUGGCUCAGAUUGAACGCUGGCGGCAGGCUUAACACAUGCAAGUCGAACGGUAGCAGGAGAAAGCUUGCUUUCUUGCUGACGAGUGGCGGACGGGUGAGUAAUGCUUGGGAAUCUGGCUUAUGGAGGGGGAUAACUACUGGAAACGGUAGCUAAUACCGCGUAAUAUCGAGAGAUUAAAGACUGGGACCUACGGGCCAGUUGCCAUAAGAUGAGCCCAAGUGGGAUUAGGUAGUUGGUGGGGUAAAGGCCUACCAAGCCCGCGAUCUCUAGCUGGUCUGAGAGGAUGACCAGCCACACUGGAACUGAGACACGGUCCAGACUCCUACGGGAGGCAGCAGUGGGGAAUAUUGCACAAUGGGGGGAACCCUGAUGCAGCCAUGCCGCGUGAAUGAAGAAGGCCUUCGGGUUGUAAAGUUCUUUCGGUGGUGAGGAAGGUAUCAACUUUAAUAGAGUUGGUAAUG